GACGAACCGUCCGAACGUUAUUCGGAAUCACUGGGCUUAAAGGGUGCGUAGGCGGCGCGGCACGUUGGGUGUGAAAUCCCUCGGCUCAACCGAGGAACUGCGCCCAAAACUACCGUGCUCGAGGGAGAUAGAGGUGAGCGGAACUUAGGGUGGAGCGGUGAAAUGCGUUGAUAUCCUAAGGAACACCGGUGGCGAAAGCGGCUCACUGGAUCUCUUCUGACGCUGAGGCACGAAAGCUAGGGUAGCGAACGGG
rnacentral:rRNA from 1 species